CCUACGGGAGGCAGCAGUAGGGAAUAUUGGGCAAUGGAGGCAACUCUGACCCAGCCAUGCCGCGUGCAGGAAGAAGGCGUUAUGCGUUGUAAACUGCUUUUAUAUAGGAAGAAAUAGUCCUUGCGAGGAAAGUUGACGGUACUAUAUGAAUAAGCACCGGCUAACUCCGUGCCAGCAGCCGCGGUAAUACGGAGGGUGCAAGCGUUGUCCGGAUUUAUUGGGUUUAAAGGGUGCGUAGGCGGUUUAUUAAGUCAGUGGUGAAAGACGGUCGCUCAACGAUUGCAGUGCCAUUGAUACUGGUAGACUUGAGUGGGAUUGAGGUAGCUGGAAUGGAUAGUGUAGCGGUGAAAUGCAUAGAUAUUAUCCAGAACACCAAUUGCGUAGGCAAGUUACUAAGUCUCAACUGACGCUGAGGCACGAAAGUGUGGGUAUCAAACAGGAUUAGAUACCCUGGUAGUCCACACUGUAAACGAUGAUAACUAACUGUUGGCUUUCGGGUCAGUGGUACAGAGAAAUCGUUAAGUUAUCCACCUGGGGAGUACGCCGGNAACGGUGAAACUCAAAUGAAUUGACCGGNNGAGAGNGCGAGACGACGACGAGGGAGGAGG
rnacentral:rRNA from 1 species